UACGGGGGGGGGCAAGCGUUGUUCGGAAUUACUGGGCGUAAAGGGCGCGUAGGCGGCUCGCUAAGUCGGAUGUGAAAACUCUGGGCUCAACCCAGAGCCUGCAUUCGAAACUGACGAGCUGGAGUUCUGGAGGGGAAAGCGGAAUUCCUGGUGUAGCGGUGAAAUGCGUAGAUAUCAGGAGGAACACCGGUGGCGAAGGCGGCUAUCGUCGGACAGAGUCUGACG
rnacentral:rRNA from 1 species